rnacentral:rRNA from 1 species
UACGAAGGGGGCUAGCGUUGUUCGGAAUUACUGGGCGUAAAGCGCGCGUAGGCGGACUACUAAGUCAGGGGUGAAAUCCCGGGGCUCAACCCCGGAACUGCCUUUGAUACUGAGAGUCUCGAGUCCGGAAGAGGUGAGUGGAAUUCCGAGUGUAGAGGUGAAAUUCGUAGAUAUUCGGAGGAACACCAGUGGCGAAGGCGGCUCACUGGUCCGGUACUGACGCUGAGGUGCGAAAGCGUGGGGAGCAAACAGG